GGAGACUGCGAGCGUUACUCGGAUUCACUGGGCGUAAAGGGUGCGCAGGCGGCCAAAUGUGUCAGGGUGUGAAAGCCCGGGGCUCAACUCCGGAAUUGCGCCUGAAACUGUUUGGCUAGAGUCUCGGAGAGGUAAGCGGAAUUCCUAGUGUAGCGGUGAAAUGCGUAGAUAUUAGGAGGAACACCAAAGGCGAAGGCAGCUUACUGGACGAGAACUGACGCUGAGGCACGAAAGCGUGGGGAGCGAAAGGGAUUAGAUACCCCUGUAGUCCACGCCGUAAACGUUGUACACUAGGUUUUGGGCGAUUCGACCCGCUCAGGGCUCAAGCUAACGUGAUAAGUGUACCGCCUGAGGACUACGACCGCAAGGUUA
rnacentral:rRNA from 1 species